ACGGAGGGUGCGAGCGUUAAUCGGAAUCACUGGGCGUAAAGCGCACGUAGGCGGUGUCGUAAGUCGGAUGUGAAAGCCCUCGGCUCAACCGGGGAACUGCAUUCGAUACUGCGAUGCUUGAGUGCCGGAGAGGGUGGCGGAAUUCCAGGUGGAGGAGUGGAAUCCUUAGAUAUCUGGAGGAACACCAGAGGCGAAGGCGGCCAACUGGCCGGCAACUGACGCGGGGGUGCGAGAGCGAGGGGAUGAAGCAG
rnacentral:rRNA from 1 species